rnacentral:lncRNA from 1 species
GGGGAGCCGCAACCGGGAGGGAGCCGCCAGCCUGGGGACAGUGGGGCUGAGCCCCGUCCUGCUCCCGGAUCCGCGCCAGGCCUCAGUCCUCCCCGUCCGGGCAAUGGGACCUCCAGUGCCACCUCCAGGACCUCGUGAGAAGACGGGUAGACCAGGCUGCGCCCGCGGGGGAACCUCUGUCGGUGUCUCUUCCAAUUGCUGCCCCCCCACCUGGGCCCUGUAACGGGCUGAAUGGUGGCCCCCAGGACACACGGGUAUGUCCCAGUCCUGGGAACUUGUGCAUGUGACCUUAUUUGGAAAAAGGGUCUUUGCAGAUGGAAUUAGGUUAAGGAUGCGGAGUGCAGAUCAUCCUGGAUUAGAGGGGUUCUAAAUCCAAUGACAGGCAUCUUUAGAAGAGAAGGGAGAGGUGUGUGUGGGGGGAGGCCAAGUGAAAGAUGGAGGCAGAGACCAGGGUGAGGCAUCUACCAGCCAAGGAACCCCAGGAUUGCUGGAGAGAGUGAGGCAGGUAAUAGAUUCCCUCCAGAGACUCCAGGAGGAGACACCCCGGCAGACACCCCAAUUUCAGACUUCUGGAGAGAAUAGAUGUCUGUCAUUUUAAGCACCCCCCCAUCUGUGGCAUUUUGUCAGGAAAUGAAGCACACGACCUCAAGUAGAUGACUUCUGUGUUCUCUCCCGUCUCUCCUAGUUACAUCACUGUGGUGGUCUUCUGUGUCGCAGGAACACGUUGCAUUCACUCCUACCACAGGGCCUUUACACAUGCUCUUCCCCCCUCACAUAUGUUCAUGCUAUCCAUGUGUCAGUUCAGAAGCUGUCUCCUCAAAGAGGCUGCCUCCCACUCACCACCCUACCCCAUGGCUCAAGUUUUUUUUUGUUUUUUUUUUUUUGGUACAAUGCACUUUUCCUUAAAUGGGGAACAAAUGCCCUUAAAAUUGACCACUUUACACUCGGUAGGGUGCAACUCAGAGGCAUUGAUACACUGAUAGUCAUGCACCACCUCCAUUUCCUCAUCCAGAACAGUUUACCACCCUUAGUGGAAGCCCGUCCCCCGAGCAGCCUCCUCCCGCACCCACAGGUCCACACCCCAUCUCUGGACUGUCCUGUCCUGGACUCUCCUGUCACUGGGUCAUACACUGUGGCCUUGUGUGUCUGGUUCUCACUGAGCAUGAGGUCCUCAGGUCCCUCCAUGCUGCAGCUGUGUCACCUCACUCCUGCUGGUGGCCAAGGGACCUCUGGGUGUGGGUGGAGCCCAUUUUAUGUAUCUGUUCAUCUGCUGAUUACACUUGAGAUGGGUUCCACUUUGGGGCUGCUAUGAACACAUGGGCACAAGUACUUGCUUGGGUCCCUGUUCUCAGCGCUCCCGUGGGAGUGCCGAGGGGGGGAUUUCUGGGUCAUGCUGUAAUUCUAUCUUUCACUUAUUGAAGAACACGAUUUUUUUCUCAGAAGUUGCCACUCAGAAAUUAUUUCUUUGUUUCUGUGGUUAUUCUCUGUUCCACUUUUACUAGAAUAUGAAUCUCCAGGGAGAAGGACUCUUGAUCUCACUCACAGAUAUACUGUCCCCCAGGGGGUAGCACCUGACACUAGGGUGGUCAAGAGCCACCAUGUAUUAGUUGGCUUUGUGUUACUACAACAAAAUGCCUAAAGCAGAUAACUUAUAAAGAGAAAAGGUUGGGUGUGUAGCUCAUUGGUAGAGCACUGAGCAUGCAUGAGGCCCUGGGUUCCAUCUCUAAAGCAUAUGUACACACACACAUACACAUGUGGGAGGCCAACCUUACGGGUGACUGGUCACAGAAAUGGGUGUGUCUUGUUACAGCCCCAUGGGUGAAGCUAUGCUCACCUGUUCCUUUGUAAUGUAACCCCUUGCCCUGUUUUCGAAGUGCCUUGUGUGUGUCCCCUCCUCUUACUGUGCCCUUGGGUGUGGCCUACCCAGGUGUCAGUCAACCUGCUGACAGUGGACAUCAUGAAGAUAGACUCAGCCCCCUGAAACCUGACCCCUUGCCUCAUUUGAAUAGCUUCUCCUCAAUAAAAGGGGUCAGCGCGUGCUCUCGCUCUCUCUCUUUCUGCGGACCCUUAAGGUCAGAGGAGCUGUCACAGCAACCCCAAAGAAAAAG